CAAACUACCCACUGCGGCAAGGAAAAACUAUCUGGUAGUUUCAUUGGAGACUCCAGCAUUCUCUUGGACAAGCCAGACAGGGUUAACCUUAUCCAGCGAGCCCGACUCCUUGCCCCUGUCCUGGGCCGGUUCAGGGACACCCUCCUCCGUGUGGCCAGCCGGCAGGGCAGCGGGGAACUCAGGGACUGUCUGGAGAACUACCAAGAAGUACAGAGCAACCUGGCCGACAAACUGUCUUUAUUUGUGAACGAGAUCCAGGUAAGCACCAAAGCGCAUGCGCCCCUGUACCUGACCAUCGGAAGUGUUGAAGGCGGCGUCACGCAAGCUUUGUCUGAUUAUGCAGAACGUGG